rnacentral:snRNA from 1 species
AGAUGUGAGUGGUCUGCCUGCAGUAUCUGUUAUGCUGUUGAUUGCUAGUGUCAGUUCAGCUGAUCUGACUGGGUAGAGGGAUGUUCUCUUCCUCCCUCACCAUUCCACUUCACAUGCAUACCUCCUGAAGCUGCAUGUUUGGUUGAAGAGGACAGCCUUCUCAGAUAGUGGAGGGCCUCUCUGUAGUUAGUGGUAUAUGCAUACCCUGCUAGAGCAUCUAAAGGAGCUUUCAAAAUCAAAAACAUUUUGCUCAUUCAAAUAUAGUAACAUAAGAAGAUAAAUUCAGGAAGAAAAAAAUGAAAUACAUGUUGUUUU